rnacentral:rRNA from 1 species
CCAAAUAACAAGAGCCCAGGCCCAGAUGGGUUUACAAAUGAGUUCUACAAGGCCUUUAAGCUCUUACUGAAGGAUGACAUUCUCAAGGUCUUUGCUGAUUUUCAUGCAAACACUGUCUCACUUGAGGGCAUCAACAGGGCCUAUAUCACCUUGCUACCCAAAAAGGACACUCCUCUUGAGAUGGGUGAUUACAGACCUAUUUCUCUGGUUCAU